GAACUUGGUGUAGAAGUAGCCCAAUGUAAAGCACAUUGCAGAAGUCCAACCUUGAGGUUUCCAGCACAUGCACUACCAUCUUUAGGUUC
rnacentral:snoRNA from 11 species